rnacentral:rRNA from 1 species
CCUACGGGAGGCAGCAGUCGAGAAUUUUUCUCAAUGGGGGAAACCCUGAAGGAGCGACGCCGCGUGGAGGAUGAAGGUCUUCGGAUUGUAAACUCCUGUCAUUUGGGAACUAGUACCAGAAGAGGAAGAGACGGCUAACUCUGUGCCAGCAGCCGCGGUAAUACAGAGGUCUCAAGCGUUGUUCGGAUUCAUUGGGCGUAAAGGGUGCGUAGGUGGCGGGGUAAGUCAGGUGUGAAAUCUCGGAGCUCAACUCCGAAACUGCAUUUGAUACUGCCUUGCUUGAGUACUGGAGAGGAGAUUGGAAUUUACGGUGUAGCAGUGAAAUGCGUAGAUAUCGUAAGGAAGACCAGUGGCGAAGGCGAAUCUCUGGACAGUACUGACACUGAGGCACGAAGGCCAGGGGAGCAAACGGGAUUAGAUACCCGAGUAGUC